rnacentral:snoRNA from 1 species
CAGCUGCAGCUGCUGCUGCUGCAGCUGCUGGGUGGCGCCGCAGGUGCUGCUGCAGCAGCAGAAGUACCUGCAGGCGCUGCUGUAGCAGCUGCAACUGCAGCAGCUGCUGUAGCAGCCUCAGCAGCAGCA